rnacentral:rRNA from 1 species
ACAGCAGUAGCCACGGGAAUACGAAGGGGGCUAGCGUUGCUCGGAAUGACUGGGCGUAAAGGGCGCGUAGGCGGUUUAUACAGUCAGAUGUGAAAUUCCUGGGCUCAACCUGGGGACUGCAUUUGAUACGUAUGGACUUGAGUGGAGAAGAGGGUUGUGGAAUUUCCAGUGUAGAGGUGAAAUUCGUAGAUAUUGGAAAGAACACCGGUGGCGAAGGCGGCAACCUGGUCUUUAACUGACGCUGAGGCGCGAAAGCGUGGGGAGCAAACAGGAUUAGAUACCCGAGUAGUCCCUGUCUCUUAUAC